rnacentral:rRNA from 1 species
UACGUAGGUCCCGAGCGUUGUCCGGAUUUAUUGGGCGUAAAGCGAGCGCAGGUGGUUUAAUAAGUCUGGUGUAAAAGGCAGUGGCUCAACCAUUGUAUGCAUUGGAAACUGGUAGACUUGAGUGCAGGAGAGGAGAGUGGAAUUCCAUGUGUAGCGGUGAAAUGCGUAGAUAUAUGGAGGAACACCGGUGGCGAAAGCGGCUCUCUGGACUGUAACUGACACUGAGGCGCGAAAGCGUGGGGAGCAAACAGG